GAUGAACGCUGGCGGCGUGCCUAGUACAUGCAAGUCGAGCGAACGGACGAGAAGCUCGCUUCUCUGAUGUUAGCGGCGGACGGGUGAGUAACACGUGGAUAACCUACCUAUAAGACUGGGAUAACUUCGGGAAACCGGAGCUAAUACCGGAUAAUAUUUUGAACCGCAUGGUUCAAAAGUGAAAGACGGUCUUGCUGUCACUUAUAGAUGGAUCCGCGCUGCAUUAGCUAGUUGGUAAGGCAACGACUUACCAAGGCAACGAUGCAUAGCCGACCUGAGAGGGUGGUCGGCCACACUGGAACUGAGGAACAGUCCAGACUCCUACGGGAGGCAGCAGUAGGGAAUCUUCCGCGAUGGACGAGAGCCUGACGGAGCAACGCCGCGUGAGUGAUGAAGGUCUUCGGAUCGUAAAACUCUGUUAUUAGGGAAGAACAUAUGUGUAAGUAACUGUGCACAUCUUGACGGUACCUAAUCAGAAAGCCACGGCUAACUACGUG
rnacentral:rRNA from 1 species